rnacentral:rRNA from 1 species
UACGUAGGGUGCAAGCGUUAAUCGGAAUUACUGGGCGUAAAGCGUGCGCAGGCGGUUGUGCAAGACAGUUGUGAAAUCCCCGGGCUCAACCUGGGAAUUGCAUUUAUGACUGCACGGCUAGAGUGUGUCAGAGGGGGGUAGAAUUCCACGUGUAGCAGUGAAAUGCGUAGAGAUGGGGAGGAAUACCGAUGGCGAAGGCAGCCCCCUGGGAUAACACUGACGCUCAUGCACGAAAGCGUGGGGAGCAAACAGG